GAUGAACGCUGGCGGCGUGCCUAAUACAUGCAAGUCGAGCGAACGGACGAGAAGUUUGCCUCUCUGAUGUUAGCGGCGGACGGGUGAGGAACAGGUGGAUAACCGACCUAUAAGACUGGGAUAACUUCGGGAAACCGUAGCUAAUACCGGAUAAUAUUUUGAACCGCAGGGUUCAAAAGUGAAAGACGGUCUUGCUGUCACUAAUAGAGGGAUCCGCGCUGCAUUAGCUAGUUGGUAAGGUAACGGCUUACCAAGGCAACGAUGCAUAGCCGACCUGAGAGGGUGAUCGGCCACACUGGAACUGAGACACGGUCCAGACUCCUACGGGAGGCAGCAGUAGGGAAUCUUCCGCAAUGGGCGAAAGCCUGACGGAGCAACGCCGCGUGAGUGAUGAAGGUCUUCGGAUCGUAAAACUCUGUUAUUAGGGAAGAACAUAUGUGUAAGUAACUGUGCACAUCUUGACGGUACCUAAUCAGAAAGCCACGGCUAACUACGUG
rnacentral:rRNA from 1 species